rfam:Bacteroides sp. CAG:443 genomic scaffold, scf198
ACAAAUAAAAGAUCACAUUUAUGAAACAGAUAAUGGUAAAUACAUUCUUUUGGUGGCGCCUCUUGCAACUUCAUAAGUCGUAAGGGAACAUCAGUCGUGUGUAUAUAUACCAUUUAAUUUUAGUAAUAAGAUAUAGCAAAAGGCUGUC